AGAAGGUUAGUCCAACAGUAAGACCUCUGAUUUCGGCUCAGAAAAUUAUGGUUUAAUUCCAUAACCUUCUU
rnacentral:tRNA from 1 species